GACGAACGCUGGCGGCGUGCUUAACACAUGCAAGUCGAACGGAAAGGCCUGCUUUCCCUUGUGGAUUGCGGGUACUCGAGUGGCGAACGGGUGAGUAACACGUGAGUGAUCUGCCCCCAACUUGGGUAUAAGCCUGGGAAACUGGUUCUAAUUCCCGAUAGGACUGCAGGGUGGUGCCUGUGGUGGAAAACGAUUUUCUAGUGGUUGGGGAUGAGCUCGCGGCCUAUCAGCUUGUUGGUGGGGUAAUGGCCUACCAAGGCGGCGACGGGUAGCCGGCCUGAGAGGGUGGACGGCCACAUUGGGACUGAGAUACGGCCCAGACUCCUACGGGAGGCAGCAGUGGGGAAUAGUGCACAAUGGGCGGAAGCCUGAUGCAGCGACGCCGCGUGGGGGAUGACGGCCUUCGGGUUGUAAACUCCUUUCGACCGCGAGGAAGCCACCUGGUUGGAAGGGUGGUGACGGUAGUGGUAGAAGAAGCACCGGCUAACUACGU
rnacentral:rRNA from 1 species